AGUGAACGCUGGCGGUAGGCCUAACACAUGCAAGUCGAACGGCAGCACAGUAAGAGCUUGCUCUUACGGGUGGCGCGUGGCGGACGGGUGAGGAAUACAUCGGAAUCUACUUUUUCGUGGGGGAUAACGUAGGGAAACUUACGCUAAUACCGCAUACGACCUACGGGUGAAAGCAGGGGAUCUUCGGACCUUGCGCGAUUGAAUGAGCCGAUGUCGGAUUAGCUAGUUGGCGGGGUAAAGGCCCACCAAGGCGACGAUCCGUAGCUGGUCUGAGCGGAUGAUCAGCCACACGGGAACUGAGACACGGUCCAGACUCCUACGGGAGGCAGCAGUGGGGAAUAUUAGACGAUGGGCGAAAGCCUGAUCCAGCCAAACCGCGUGGGUGAAGAAGGCCUUCGGGUGGUAAAGCCCUUUUGUUGGGAAAGAAAAGCAGCAGGUUAAUACCCCGCUGUUCUGACGGUACCCAAAGAAUAAGCACCGGCUAACUUCGUG
rnacentral:rRNA from 1 species